rnacentral:rRNA from 1 species
UACGGAGGGGGCAAGCGUUGUUCGGAAUUACUGGGCGUAAAGGGCGUGUAGGCGGUUUAGUAAGUUGAAAGUGAAAGCCCGGAGCUUAACUCCGGAAUGGCUUUCAAAACUGCUAGGCUAGAGAUAGGUAGAGGAUAGCGGAAUUCCUAGUGUAGAGGUGAAAUUCGUAGAUAUUAGGAGGAACACCAAAAGUGAAAACAGCUAUCUGGGCCUUUUCUGACGCUGAGACGCGAAAGCGUGGGGAGCAAACAGG